rnacentral:rRNA from 1 species
AGAGUUUGAUCCUGGCUCAGGAUGAACGCUGGCGGCGUGCCUAACACAUGCAAGUCGAGCGAUUCUCUUCGGAGAAGAGCGGCGGACGGGUGAGUAACGCGUGGGUAACCUGCCCUGUACACACGGAUAACAUACCGAAAGGUAUGCUAAUACGGGAUAACAUAUAAGAGUCGCAUGACUUUUAUAUCAAAGAUUUUUCGGUACAGGAUGGACCCGCGUCUGAUUAGCUUGUUGGCGGGGUAACGGCCCACCAAGGCGACGAUCAGUAGCCGACCUGAGAGGGUGAUCGGCCACAUUGGAACUGAGACACGGUCCAAACUCCUACGGGAGGCAGCAGUGGGGAAUAUUGGACAAUGGACCAAAAGUCUGAUCCAGCAAUUCUGUGUGCACGAUGAAGUUUUUCGGAAUGUAAAGUGCUUUCAGUUGGGAAGAAGAAAGUGACGGUACCAACAGAAGAAGCGACGGCUAAAUACGUGCCAGCAGCCGCGGUAAUACGUAUGUCGCAAGCGUUAUCCGGAUUUAUUGGGCGUAAAGCGCGUCUAGGCGGUUUGGUAAGUCUGAUGUGAAAAUGCGGGGCUCAACUCCGUAUUGCGUUGGAAACUGCCAAACUAGAGUACUGGAGAGGUAGGCGGAACUACAAGUGUAGAGGUGAAAUUCGUAGAUAUUUGUAGGAAUGCCGAUGGGGAAGCCAGCCUACUGGACAGAUACUGACGCUAAAGCGCGAAAGCGUGGGUAGCAAACAGGAUUAGAUACCCUGGUAGUCCACGCCGUAAACGAUGAUUACUAGGUGUUGGGGGUCGAACCUCAGCGCCCAAGCUAACGCAUUAAGUAUUCCGCCUGGGGAGUACGGUCGCAAGAUUAAAACUCAAAGGAAUUGACGGGGGCCCGCACAAGUAGCGGAGCAUGUGGUUUAAUUCGAAGCAACGCGAAGAACCUUACCUAGACUUGACAUCUUCUGCAUUACCCUGUAAUGGGGGAAGUUCCUUCGGGAACAGAAUGACAGGUGGUGCAUGGUUGUCGUCAGCUCGUGUCGUGAGAUGUUGGGUUAAGUCCCGCAACGAGCGCAACCCCUAUUGUUAGUUGCUACCAUUAAGUUGAGCACUCUAGCGAGACUGCCCGGGUUAACCGGGAGGAAGGUGGGGAUGACGUCAAAUCAUCAUGCCCCUUAUGUCUAGGGCUACACACGUGCUACAAUGGCAAGUACAGAGAGAUGCGAUACCGCGAGGUGGAGCUAAACUUCAAAACUUGUCUCAGUUCGGAUUGUAGGCUGAAACUCGCCUACAUGAAGCUGGAGUUACUAGUAAUCGCGAAUCAGCAUGUCGCGGUGAAUACGUUCCCGGGCCUUGCACACACCGCCCGUCA